UACGUAUGGUGCAAGCGUUAUCCGGAUUUACUGGGUGUAAAGGGCGUGCAGCCGGGCAUGCAAGUCAGAUGUGAAAACCCAGGGCUUAACUCUGGGACUGCUUUUGAAACUGUCAGACUGGAGUGCAGGAGAGGUAAGCGGAAUUCCUAGUGUAGCGGUGAAAUGCGUAGAUAUUAGGAGGAACAUCAGUGGCGAAGGCGGCUUACUGGACUGAAACUGACACUGAGGCACGAAAGCGUGGGGAGCAAACAGG
rnacentral:rRNA from 1 species